CAGCUGCCCUGUGAAGGGCUGU
rnacentral:miRNA from 1 species